UCAGGAUGAACGCUGGCGGCGUGCCUAACACAUGCAAGUCGAACGGGACUAUCAAGUGAUGUUUCGGACUGAACUUUUAGUUAGUGGCGGACGGGUGAGUAACGCGUGGACAACCUGCCUCUCACUGGGGGAUAGCAGCUGGAAACGGCUGGUAAUACCGCAUGCGUUCAAUGUGCCGCAUGACACAUUGAAGAAAGAUUUAUCGGUGAGAGAUGGGUCCGCGUCUGAUUAGCCAGUUGGCGGGUAACGGCCCACCAAAGCGACGAUCAGUAGCCGGCCUGAGAGGGCGGACGGCCACAUUGGGACUGAGACACGGCCCAGACUCCUACGGGAGGCAGCAGUGGGGGAUAUUGCACAAUGGGCGCAAGCCUGAUGCAGCGAACCGCCGCGUGAGUGAAGAAGUAUUUCGGUAUGUAAAGCUCUAUCAGCAGGGAAGAAAGGCCCGCAAGGGAGAUGACGGUACCUGACUAAGAAGCCCCGGCUAACUACGUGCCAGCCGCCGC
rnacentral:rRNA from 1 species